CGCCUGUUUAUCAAAAACAUCGCUCCGCGAAAACCCCUGUAUGCGGAGUAUCGUCUGCCCGGUGAGUAAAUUCAACGGCCGCGGUAUCCUAACCGUGCUAAGGUAGCGCAAUCACUAGUUACUUAAAUAGUAACAUGUAUGAAAGACAUCACGAGAGUUGAGCUGUCUCAAAAGCCCUUAAUUAAAUCUUAUCUUUUUGUUAAAAAGCAAAAAUAAAAGCGUUAGACGAGAAGACCCUGUCGAACUUAAGCUUAACAUAACUUAGUCAAGGGGUAAGCAGCUCUGCUUAAAUACAAUAACUAAUUGCAACACCCCUUUCCCCUGGCUAUGCUUAUUCUACACUUUGGUUGGGGCAACCGCGGAAAACACAACACCCGCAUUGAAAUGUUACAAAACUAUAAGUUAACAACCGUUCUACAGUCAACCCAUGAUCCAAGAAAUUGAACAAUAAAUAAAGUUACCGCAGGGAUAACAGCGUAAUCCCUCUAUAAAGUCCAUAUUGCCAGAGGGGUUUGCGACCUCGAUGUUGGAUCAGGGAAACUGGGCAGUGCAACCGCUGCCGCAAGUUGGUCUGUUCGACCAUUAAACCCCUACGUGAUCUGAGUAGACCCAGA
rnacentral:rRNA from 1 species